GGGGGACCUGUAAUCAUUUCAAUGAUAUAGACCUCGUUCCAGCUGGUUAUGUACCGCAAGAUACGUGUAUUAACUGGACGAAGAAUUUUAGAUAUUUACUUUUGUCCCGGAAAAUGAGCCGUUUGAAUGCGGGACAUUUCUGAAGAAAAUGAAGAUAAUAGAUGAAACAAUAUGAUAUUUUUUCCUGUAGUCUGUGGACAAAAUAAGAGUUUCCUAAUAUUUGAUGGUUAGGUGACUGACGGUGUUAGAAGGUACGCGUUCGAAGUACGCUGAAUCGCGAUGCAUUUUCCCACGUAUCGUUUUAAUCGUUAUAACUUUUUCAUUGUUAGGGUUCAAAUCACUAAAGUCGAAAAGAGAAACAUUUAUAGUUUAUUAAAUAUUUACUAGUUUAUUAGUUUAUUAUGUAUAUGUGCAACGUAACAUUCAGAUAUUUUUGACACUUUACGAGCACGUGCUUAUUGCAGACAAACGUUGCGUAAACUGCGUUACAAGAUCGCCCGAAACAAAAUAAAGUAAAAGAUGCGCACUCUUGCGUCCGAUUCGGAUAACACGUGUUUUCACGUCAAGCAUGAAAUGAGUCGUUUAUUUUGAAAGUGAAGCAAGUCCAUUUUUGAAACAAAUGAAAAUAUAUAAAAUUUCGUGUGAUAUUUGCAUCUGUAAACAAUCUGUAGCCAAAAUGAUUGAAAUUCUAAUAUUACGGUAUGAUUUAGCUCCGGUAAAUGGUAAUACGAACAAUGCUGUCAGAAACUAUUAAUUGUAUAAUAUUGGCAUAACCUUAACAUGAGCGGGGACCUGUAAAUCUAUCUAGUUCUUGUUUCAGUAUUGGUGCACAAACCCCUUAACAAUUUCUGCGUUAUUCAAAAAUUAAUUACGAAUAGUGGUUUAUUUUAUUUAAAAACGUUUGAUUCAAUGUUUUCAACAAAAAUUGUAACUGUGAUCUGAAGAUGAAGGUUUAUAGAAAUGAGAUUCAUGGGAAUUGGUAAUAAAAGAAGAAUCUUGGAAUCAGGAUUUGAACAUGAAGACAAUUCGAAGCAAAAUAAUUAAUUAAUUAAUUAAUUAUGGAUUAUAGAAAUUAUUUAUAAUAUUUCACUAACACUUA